UCGGGUGUGUAAGCGCAGCGAUGCGUUGAGCUAACCGAUACUAAUGAACCGAGAGGCUUAACCUUACAACACCGAAGGUGUUU
rnacentral:rRNA from 1 species